GUCCAUUUUUAAAACAUUCUGUUCUGAAGAAGACAUUCAAUGUCACCCUACCAAAACCCUCACUGAUCAAGAGAGAAAACACUUUGACUACAGGACAAAAAGACAAACAAAAAUGCCCAGGAAGCAAAGUAAAAUCUUCUAAAUGAUAUAUUCUAAAGGUAUUAUCCAUUAAUAUAAAGGUAAGCUGACAGUUGUCUCACAAAGAAGUAAUUCCAUUUUGAUGAUGCCCUCCAUCAGCUACUCAAAGGAAUAUAAUUGCUCUUCUAACCUCAAGAGAUAGAAAAAUCUGUUCUUGCAAGACAUUUAAUUCUCUAUUUUUUUCUCAAAAUUUUCCUAUUACAACUGCAUUUCCAUUCACUAUAUUCUUUCUAAAUAUAUAUUACUAGUGCUUCCAUAUAAAAUACAAUGCUGAAUAAAAACAUCUGGAAACCCUUUCUUUUUAACUUUAGAAUCUCAUUCUCUAACCAGAGAAUGUAAUUAUUUUCCAGAUACUAGGUGUGCUGAAAAUAAGUACAUGUUGUUAUUAUGUGUGUGUUAUCCACCUGUCUUCCUUUCUUACUCAUCAUUUCUCUGAAAUUAUAAAAGUGGAUAAUAAAAGUCACAAAAAA